rnacentral:rRNA from 1 species
UACGUAGGGUGCAAGCGUUGUCCGGAAUUAUUGGGCGUAAAGAGCUUGUAGGCGGUUUGUCGCGUCUGCUGUGAAAUUUCGGGGCUCAACCCCGAACUUGCAGUGGGUACGGGCAGACUAGAGUGUGGUAGGGGAGACUGGAAUUCCUGGUGUAGCGGUGAAAUGCGUAGAUAUCGGGAGGAACACCAGUGGCGAAGGCGACUUCCUGGCCUGUUCUUGACGCUGAGGCGCGAAAGCUAGGGGAGCAAACGGGG